AUAUAAUAAAAGUAGACUUAACAAAAAAAGCAGGUUGCAUUUAAUCUUUAUUUUCAAAAUUGAAAGCAUGAAACUAGAUUUGUACAUACAUAAAGCAUUUCAAACACUGAAACAAAGAUGAAGAACAUUUGUUGAUGUGGUUACGUUCUCUUUUUCUCUUUCUCAGUGGGAAAAGUCAGAGGAACACCAAAAGGAAUAACCACCACUUUGUAUAUUCUCUCCUAAAAUCAUCCAUCUUACCAUCACACAAGUACUAAUCGACAUUUAUUGUCCUAUACUAUUUCAAUUCCUGCCUUUUCAUUCAAACAUUAAAGCACUUGUGGUAUUAACAGUUAAAAAGACUUGCAUUUUUAUUUAAUUAUAAUUGAAUAAAGUGCACUCAUGAGAAAAAAAAAAAUUACAGUUGUGUCAACCAAAAUAUUUUUACGCACUAGUUCAUUUCGAGUUUGCAUAUCUGCAAAAGCCACCUGCAACAAAGGCGAGACCAUGUGUGAAAACUGGGUGAGCUACCAUAUGGCAUCGAGUGACUCACGUUUUUUUUAUACCCAUAAUCCACCCCUUUCACAUAAUUAGUACUCCUCUUCGAGAUCGUCGUCCAGGUCAGAAAAGUCAAUAGAUGGUCUGUUGUCUCGCGUCUCCUCGUCACCUUCCCCAUGGGGAACUGCAAUCCAGACACAUUAAGUCAAAUUAUGUAGCCACAUGAUAAAUAUAAAAAUGAACACACAAAAGGGUGAGCAAUCUACAUUAUACUACGGCUUUUUAUUGAUUUAUUUUAACACAUUUUAUUGAUUUUUGCCAAUAAAAAGA